CUUGGUCAUUUAGAGGAAGUAAAAGUCGUAACAAGGUUUCCGUAGGUGAACCUGCGGAAGGAUCAUUAACGCAUCUCUGACGGGGCGGGUCGGCCCUGCUCGGGUCCGAAAGGGCCUUUGCAGCGGGUCGCCCGUCACGCUCAACCUUCACAAACCCACUGUGCACCUUCACGGCACUGGGGUCCUCGUUCUGCACCGUUGUGUGAAUAAUCGCUGUCCCAGCCAACGCAACUGGAAGAUGCAAUACUCUUCUAUUGUCUGCUGGGGGGAAAGUCCCCGGAGCCACAGAGCUAGUCUGCCCAGUGUAAACGGAAAGCGACCGCCCUUAACAACGGCGGUGACUGGAACGGACGGACUUGGGGGAUCUUUGCCAGAGCUCUUAUGAGUCUUGGCUUAGCCCAUCGUGUCCACUCUGUAGUUUGGUGUGCCAAAGUGCUCUCGAGCUCUUUUGGCCCUGAACCUCACUCCUCAUUUCUCAAAGUCAUGCGAUUGCGGCUUCUUUGCCGUAACCCAAUGGGGCUCACUCUCAGACGAGGUGGAACGGGAAUCUCUUGCCGCAUUACACAAACACUUAUAAAAAGAAUGCUUAGUGGCCUCUGGGCUACCUAAAACAUAACAACUUUCAACAACGGAUCUCUUGGCUCUCGCAUCGAUGAAGAACGCAGCGAAAUGCGAUAAGUAAUGUGAAUUGCAGAAUUCAGUGAAUCAUCGAAUCUUUGAACGCACCUUGCGCUCCUUGGUAUUCCGAGGAGCAUGCCUGUUUGAGUGUCUUGAAGUCAUCAACCCCCUCCUGUUUUGUACAGCUGUGGGUUUGGAGCUGGGGGCUUGCUGCCGUGAGGCGGCUCCCCUCAAAUGUAUCGGUUGGGCCUGCGGGUCGGACUCGAUUGGGCGUUGUACCAUCCUCGCUCUAACGAGAUGUUCCCCUUCUGUGCCCCUCCACGACCUGCCUUCUGAGCGGCGGUCAACUAAACAUUGAAAUCUGACCUCAAAUCAGGUAGGACUACCCGCUGAACUUAAGCAUAUCAAUAAGCGGAGGAAAAGAAACUAACAAGGAUUCCCCUAGUAACUGCGAGUGAAGCGGGAAAAGCUCAAAUUUGAAAUCUGGCGGCCCCGCCGUCCGAGUUGUAUUCUGGAGAAGCGUUUUCGGUGUCGGACCGUGUACAAGUCCCUUGGAACAGGGCGUCGUAGAGGGUGAGAAUCCCGUCUUUGACACGGACCCCCGGUGCCAUAUGAUGCGCUCUCGAAGAGUCGAGUUGUUUGGGAAUGCAGCUCAAAAUGGGUGGUAAAUUCCAUCUAAAGCUAAAUAUUGGCGAGAGACCGAUAGCGAACAAGUACCGUGAGGGAAAGAUGAAAAGCACUUUGGAAAGAGAGUAAAACAGUACGUGAAAUUGUUGAAAGGGAAACGCUUGAAGUCAGUCGCGUCUGCCGGAACUCAGCCUUGCUUCUGCUUGGUGCACUUUCCGGUCUGACGGGCCAGCAUCGGUUUUGGGCGGCGGACACUGGCGAGGGGAAGGUGGCAGCUCCGGCUGUGUUAUAGCCCCUUGUCGAAAACGUCGCCUGGGACCGAGGAAUCCGGCGCAAGCCUGGGAUGCUGGCGUAAUGGCUUUAAACGACCCGUCUUGAAACACGGACC
rnacentral:rRNA from 1 species